UACGAAGGGGGCUAGCGUUGCUCGGAAUCACUGGGCGUAAAGCGCACGUAGGCGGAUUGUUAAGUCCCGUGUGAAAGCCCCCGGCUCAACCGGGGAACGGCGCGGGAAACUAGCAGGCUUGAGUUCGGGAGAGGGAAGCGGAAUUCCGGGUGUAGCGGUGAAAUGCGCAGAUAUCCGGAGGAACACCGGUGGCGAAGGCGGCUUCCUGGACCGACACUGACGCUGAGGCGCGAAAGCGUGGGGAGCGAACAGG
rnacentral:rRNA from 1 species